rnacentral:ncRNA from 1 species
CAGAGUAGAUGGUUUGCGUCAAGUGUAUGUGGAUGGGAUGUUGCCACAUAACGAAGCUGAUCUUUGCUUGUAUCUGAUGUCUUCUAUAGUAGGAACAUUGGGGCCUGGCUGAGACUAGCGCGGUAAACCAUUGCAUCCGCUG